GACGAACGCUGGCGGCGUGCCUUACACAUGCAAGUCGAACGGAAUCCAAGGAGUGCUUGCACUCCUGAAGAUUUAGUGGCGAACGGGUGAGUAACACGUGAGAAACUUGCCCCAGACUCGGGGAUAACUCAGGGAAACCUGAGCUAAUACCGGAUAUGCUCACAGAGCCGCAUGGCUCAGCGAGAAAAGUUUUUCGGUCUGGGAGAGUCUCGCGGCCUAUCAGCUUGUUGGCGGGGUAACGGCCCACCAAGGCUACGACGGGUAGCUGGUUUGAGAGAACGAUCAGCCACACUGGAACUGAGACACGGUCCAGACUCCUACGGGAGGCAGCAGUGGGGAAUCUUGCGCAAUGGGCGAAAGCCUGACGCAGCAACGCCGCGUGCGGGAUGAAGGCCUUCGGGUUGUAAACCGCUUUCAGCAGGGACGAAGAUGACGGUACCUGCAGAAGAAGCCCCGGCUAACUACGUG
rnacentral:rRNA from 1 species